rnacentral:sRNA from 1 species
GCGUCUCUGACGAGUCUUUUGUAGACAAAACGCGCGUCUGGCGU